rnacentral:rRNA from 1 species
GGGGGGGGGGGGCGGGGGGGCGGGCGCGGGGAGGUGGGGGGGGGGGGGGGGGCGUGCUGCUGGAUGCAGCGGCGGACGGGUGAGUAAUGCCUAGGAAGCUGCCUGGUGGUGGGGGAUAACGUCCGGAAACGGGCGCUCAUACCGCAUACGUCCUGAGGGCGUAAGGGGGGGAUCUUCGGACCUCCCGCUAUCAGAUGAGCCUAGGUCGGAUUAGCUAGUUGGUGGGGUAAAGGCCUACCAAGGCGACGAUCCGUACCUGGUCUGAGAGGAUGAUCAGUCACACUGGAACUGAGACACGGUCCAGACUCCUACGGGAGGCAGCAGUGGGGAAUAUUGGACAAUGGGCGAAAGCCUGAUCCAGCCAUGCCGCGUGUGUGAAGAAGGUCUUCGGAUUGUAAAGCACUUUAAGUGGGGAGGAAGGGCAGUAAGUUAAUACCUUGCUGUUUUGACGUUACCAACAGAAUAAGCACCGGCUAACUUCGUG